GACGAACGCUGGCGGCAUGCCUAAUACAUGCAAGUCGAGCGAACAGAUGAAGUGCUUGCACUUCUGACGUUAGCGGCGAACGGGUGAGUAACACGUAGGGAAUCUACCUAUAAGCGGGGGAUAACAUUCGGAAACGGGUGCUAAUACCGCAUAAUAUCUUCUUCCGCAUGGAAGAAGAUUGAAAGACGGCUCUGCUGUCACUUAUAGAUGACCUUGCGGUGCAUUAGUUAGUUGGUGGGGUAAUGGCCUACCAAGACGAUGAUGCAUAGCCGGCCUGAGAGGGUGAUCGGCCACAUUGGGACUGAGACACGGCCCAAACUCCUACGGGAGGCAGCAGUAGGGAAUCUUCCGCAAUGGGCGAAAGCCUGACGGAGCAAUGCCGCGUGAGUGAAGAAGGCCUUCGGGUCGUAAAACUCUGUUAUAAGAGAAGAACAAAUUGUAGAGUAACUGCUACAGUCUUGACGGUAUCUUAUCAGAAAGCCACAGCUAACUACGUGCCAGCCGCCGCGGUAA
rnacentral:rRNA from 1 species